GAAAGUUCAAUCCACCGACCUUCGAGGGAGAGAAGGUCGAGCCAUGGAUGGUUGAGUCGUGAGUGGACUCAAUGGCGACCUUGUUCGAGGACCUCUACACGUUGGAGAGGGACAAGGUCUACCUCGCCACUCAUUGUUUGGAGCGAACGGCGAAGGUUUGGUGGAAGCGAAUCAAGAGAAACCGAGCUUCCGACCUUCCGCCGUUGACGUGGGAGGAGUUUCGGGGAUUGUUCUAUGUCAACUACUUCCCCGAUAGCGAGAAGAAGAAGCUCCAAGAGCAAUUUCCGAAGUUGAAGCAACAUAGCCGCACGGUAGUAGAAUAUGAGCGGGUGUUCUCUCACAUCAUUGAUUGUGUCCCCGACGUAGUGCGAGAUGACAGGGAUUGAGCUGAUUGGUUCGAGAGAGGGCUCCGGGCUGAUAUCUACCGGGCGGUGUACAUUUUGAAGCUCACUACCUUCGCGGAGGUGCUCGACAGAGCGUUGUGGACGGAGCAAGAAAACGCUCACAUCCGGGAGGAGCGAGAGGCGUCCGAGAAGGACGCUGGUAAGAAGCGGGCUCAGAGUAGCUCGGGAGCUCAAACCAAGUCAAGGAAGCCCCCGAAGUACCCGCGAACGCAAUCCAAGGGCCGUGGACCGCAGCGGUGCACAAUUUGUGGUGGGAACCACGAGCUGAGGACGUGUGAUCAACGGGAGGGGAAGUGCUUCACGUGUGGACAGGCGAGCCACAUAAGCCGCUCCAGUGAGGGCUUCGCCAGCCCCUUCGGUCGCAUCGGCUCCAGCGACUCCGGCGCAUUAUGGAGGAGUUCCACUUGCUGCGUCAUCGGCUGGACGUGCGAUGGUACCACGCCAACCUGAGGCGACGAGAUCGGCUCUGAGCGAGCGGGUGUUCGCCGCCCAAACUCAAGCCAAGGAACCUGCUGAGGUGGAGGAUCGACAUGUGCUCGCAGGUAUGGUUUUAAUUAACGGAGUUCGCUCCAGAGCCAUGUUUGAUACAGGUGCUACACAUUCAUUCAUCAGUAGGUCAUUUGCACGCAUGCAUGACAUAGAACUACAAGAGAGUAAAAGCACAUGGAGAGUAUCGGGCCCCGGACGUGAUUUUCUAGUCCGUAAGGAGUGUUCGUCUUGUCCGGUGCGGUUCGGCGAUUGGAUAAUGCCCAUCCGUAUGUUGGUGCUCAAGAAAUUGAAAGACUUCGACGUCAUUCUAGGAAUGGAUUGGCUCUCGAAGUACUAUGCGACUAUUCACUGCCGAAAUAAAGUGAUAACCUUUCGAGAGCCAGGCCAUGAGGAAUUCACCUACCGGGCCUGUAGAAGCUCGCGCUUCGCUGCUAUGGUGUCGGCGACGAGGGCGAGGAAGUUGAUUAACAGCGGUUGCGUGGCCUAUUUGGCAACCGUUGUGGAAGUCGAAAGGACGACUCCGGCACUUGAGGAGUUAUUCGUGGUUCGGGAAUUUCCAGAUGUAUUUCCCGCGGAGUUACCGGGAAUGCCGCCAGACCAGAAGAUCGAGUUCGUGAUAGAUUUGGUUCCAGGAACCGCGCCUAUCUCGAAGGCUUCGUAUCGAAUGGCACCGGCAGAACUGAAGGAGUUGCGGGCUUAAUUGAUAGAUCUCCUCGAUAAGGGAUUUAUACGGCCGAGUGUAUUGCCGUGGGGAGCCCCGGUUCUAUUCGUGCGAAAGAAGGACGGAACGUUUCGACUCUGCAUAGAUUAUCGCGAGUUGAACAAAGUCACGAUCAAGAACAAGUACCUGUUGCCGAGAAUUGACGAUCUGUUUGAUCAGUUGCAAGGGUCUCGGGUUUAUUCAAAGAUUGACCUGCAGUCCGAUUAUCACCAACUCAAGAUUAAGCCGGAAGAUGUGCAAAAGACUGCGUUUCGCACGCGGUAUGGACACUUGUGACGCACUGGACCUUUGCAAAUUGCGAGGUUCGAGUGUUUGAUCUGUGUGACGAGCCAUCUCAGACUUUCUGAACGGUCGUAGACUAUGUUCCGACCCGUGGUUCGAGUCCCGAGGAUUGAGGUUUGAAGCCUAGCACCAAAACCCGAAAAAUCAGAUUUUUGGUUAGCUCUCGGGUUGCCUUCUGAGGGCUGUGUACCGGUACAGGAGUGAUGGCUGUACCGGUACAGCCAUCGACUUUGGCCGCUUCUCAGCCAACCCGAGGCUCGGGCUGGGCAUUUUCGUAGAGGGUGUACCGGUACGCUGGCCCGUGUACCGGUACGCAGUGCAGUGUUUGAACUGUUCGAAACUGCAGGGGGUUUUUCGCAUUUGUGGACUUUUGUAUGUGUCCCCACGCCCCAUGGAACUCUCCCUGAGCUGGAAACCGUGGAGAAGCAAGGUAGGGAGAACCUCUUCUCCUCCCUUUGGUUUUGAUCACCUUUUUGCUUGGGUUUUGAUGGUUUUUCCCUCUCUUUUGCAUUUUGGAGCUAUUUCCACCAUUGUUGAAGCUUGGAGCUUAGGUUUGGAGCUUGAUUGAGGGAAUAUUCUUGAAGUUUGAGAACUUUGAGCUUGGUUUGAAGCUUCUAAGAGGUAAGAGACAAGAUCCUCUCCUCUAGAUUCGGAUUUUGUUGGUUGUUACUAGAUCAAACCCUAGAUUUUGAGUUUUAGGGCUAAAAAUGGGGAUUUUUGAUUUGUAGCUUCUAGAACCAAAUUGAUUGGUUUAGAACUUUGAAUUAGGUUGGAUUUGAAGGAAUCUAACUCCCUUUUUGAGAUCGAGAGAGAUUCGUUAGCUUUCGGUGAGUUUUCUCCAACCUAGCUAGAGAAGCUUAAUGUUUGAGCUUAGCUUUGUUCGUGAGCUUUGUUUGACACAUGUUUCUAUACCUCUAGGAUACUAGGAGGCUAUUGGACAUCUUCGUUGGAGCAAACGAAGGGUUUCGUUUACCAUCGGUGGGUUUGGCUUCUUGAAUCGGGGCAAAAUGGCCCCUAUGAGUAAAAUACUUGUCUUUUUAUGGAAAUAAAUGCAUUUCUAUGCUAAACGGAAUUUAUAUGAAUUUUAGAACACUUAUAAUGCAUGCCCUGUGUAUCAUAAAAAAAAUUUCACUAUAUAGUAGAGCUAUAUGAGUAGAAUGCAUGCAUAUGGAAAGUGCUUAUCUUUGCAAGUUGAGAACAUGUCACCCAUGAGGAUAAUGACUAGAAAUGUGUACUUGAGAACAUACCUAUCAUGCUUGACAUAGAGAAUAAAAGUGUCAUCAAGAGGCACUUGGGAACUAGUAAACCUUUAAACUGCAACAUAGAGACAUAUUGAUAGGCCAUUACGUAUCUGCUAUAUUCCAUGUUAGAGACAUGACGACAUAGAGAUUGGCCAUCGUGGUACUUGACAUAUUCCAUGUUUUAGACAUGAGGACUUGGUACUUGAGACAGAUCAUUGCUUGCUUGCCAUUUGUGCUCAUUCGCACAUGCUUGUGAGGGUCGCUCCCUACAAGCCGGCACUCCGGAGAUAGCCAUCGCGACACAUGCUCGCCGUGCGGGAUUGGGCGCCGAAGUGGAUCGCCGUGGGGGAGGCUCAUCCCUAGAGUGGGGAUGUUGACUACCACGGGGCCAUUAGGCACGGCGCAGGCCAGACAGCCUUCGGGUGGGUCUUAUAUGAUUGGGACUUAGUGACAGAUCAUGCAAUGUGAACUUUAAAACUAUUAGAGUGGACUUGGACUAGAAUGGUAUACGACGACAUUUUACUAUCUUUGCAUUGAGGACAUUGGAUUGGUUGCAUUCCUACGCUUAUGCAUGUCUUACACAUCCAUGUACAUCCAUGUUAUAGUUGAUUUAUUACUUAUGCAAAUCAUGCUAAGUGGAGACUCUAUGUUAUAGUAGGUUAUAUUUCACUUACCGUUUAAUUAUUACAUUGUUAGUCACUGACCUCUUCUUGUAGCUUUUGGGCCUUGUGGCGCAGUUCACUGAAGUCAGUAAUUGCCCACUGGGAACUAUUUUUAAUAGUUCUCACGCCCCUGUUUUCUGGUUUUCUCUUCAGAGCCUUCGGCACCGGCGGAGGCACGGGAUCGCGGCAAGGGGAUCGCUUAGCUAGCUAGCGAAGAGCGGUUCUUGCUUAGGUGGUUUGCUCUUUCUUUUGUAUUUUGAGAGUGUAACAUAUGAAAACUUGGAGUUGCGAUGUCAACUUUGACCUAGAGGGUCAAAGUGAGGAUUGAGCUAGUUGGACAUCAUCCCCGAGUGAUUUGUGAUGCGUGUGAAUGAAUUCUGGAGAUAAAUAAGUGUUUCGGCGCAAAUUGGGCGCGAAACGAAAUAUAAAGAGAAUUUCGGAUUUCCGACGCUAACUUUGAUUAAAAGAAUUAAAGUAAGGCGUAAGGAUAAAUUGUGGAAUCUCCGAAUCAAUUGUGAAGUUUCGGAAAAGCCAAGGGUGUGUUUUCAAAGGGUUUUGAAGUGUUCAGUGCGAAGUGGUAGUGCAAAAAGGAGAAAUUUCUGCCGUGUAAUGAAAUUGGAGCCGAUUCUAUUGCUAAUUUGGCUCAAAUAAUGUCAAAAUGAAAAGAAAUUGCUUCCAAAUUAAAUUAGUAGCUUGUGAAGGUCCCUUGGUAUAUUUUGGAAGUGUUUGGAAGAAAUUGGAGUGAAAACGGAAAAUGUAGAAUUUUCUGUAAAGAACGAGACUGAGAAAUUAGCAGAAAAAUGCACAGUGUCAGAAAAUUAUAAAAAUUCGCAGAGAUGUCAGGAACAUUUUAAUGAGGCUAGAUUUGAAGUUUCAGAUUUUUCUGACACCUGUACAGAGAGAAAUAGCAUUUGGAAGUUAUCUGAUAAAGAUUACAGUUCGGGACAGUUCGCAGUGACCAAACGGGGUCGAAACUGAAAUGUUAAAAUUUCAGUGGACUUGUUAAGUAAAAACGAACAUUCCUGUCAAAUUUGAGCUCAAUCGGACUUUCGGAAGAGCUUACGAAGGGUAUCUGAUCCAAGGUCGCUAAACGGAUAAGUCGGAGGGCAUUAUGGUAAUUAUCGCAUAGGCUUAGUGGAUUUCCACUAACCUGCCAGGGGAACCUCCAUUCUUAUCCUCUCCUGUACGCAUGAGAGAGAGAAGGAAAGGGAAACAAAGGAAAAAAAAGAGAAGAAGAAGAAGAAGAAGAAGAAAUUGAUGAAAUCGGUGUCGUUCGACGAGCCGAUCGAUCCCCCGCGCGUGUUGGAUUUUUCCGGCGCUUCGACUGCGAAGAGCCGAUUUUGAGACCGUUUCGUCGACCGAUUUUUCCGUGACUUUCGGGUUGUUGUGGUGCCAUGCGGAUUGGGUUUGGGCUGUGAGGUGGCUUCCGAGCAGCGGUAAUCUGCAAGAUAUAUCAACCUGAGGAUUGAAGUCCUAGCGGGGAAUUGACCGCGUAUAAACCUAAUUGAAGGUUAAACAAACGCGUUGGCGAAGUCGGUUCGGCAAUCCGUCGAGCCUACGCGAAGAUAUCGCCAAAAGAAGAUUUUCGGCGUCGAUAGUCACGAGCGCGGGUCGCGAUUCUCGGGAAAGCGCUAGAAGCGCAUUUCUUCCAUUCCGGCACCAAAGAAAGGUGGGUUGUGCUUACCGAAGUGAUUAGGUCACUUCCAUGCCAAAGUAAAUCCUUGUUUCAUUUGACGCAUAUAUAUGAAUAUGAUUGUCGACCUAUGAACAUGAAUGCUAAAUGCUUAUGAGUAGGCAUAUGAAUGCGUGAAAUGUGAAUAUAUAUGCUAAAGCCUACAUACUAUAUGAAUGUCGCUAUAUGAAUGUCGCUAUAUGCUAAAGCCUACAUAGAUGCCAAGAGCAUAUAAGUUGAAUGUGAAAUGUGAAUAUAGAUGCUAUAUGGACGUCGCUAAUUCUAGUUGAUUCGAAACCUCAAUGGUAUGUAAACUAUGAACUUCAUGUAAAAUCCCUAAGAAUUGGGUAUAAAUCGACAGCUCCAAUUGAGUAGAAAUCUGAACGGUAACAAAGUAAAUGAAAAUGUGCAUGUUGUAAUCCUAGGCGUGGAUAACUAGGAUAAUG
rnacentral:lncRNA from 1 species